UACGUAGGGUGCGAGCGUUGUCCGGAAUUACUGGGCGUAAAGGGCUCGUAGGCGGCCAACUAAGUCAGACGUGAAAUCCCUCGGCUUAACCGGGGAACUGCAUCUGAUACUGGAUGGCUUGAGUUCGGGAGAGGGAUGCGGAAUUCCAGGUGUAGCGGUGAAAUGCGUAGAUAUCUGGAGGAACACCGGUGGCGAAGGCGGCCACCUGGACGGUAACUGACGCUGAGACGCGAAAGCGUGGGGAGCGAACAGG
rnacentral:rRNA from 1 species